UAAGACCAAUAAGAUUAUCCUUACAUCAUCUGAAUGCAACUCAGAAAUUUUAAUUAAACUAAAGUCUC
rnacentral:tRNA from 1 species